rnacentral:lncRNA from 1 species
AUGGGGGCAGCACGGGGGGGCUGCUCCCUCCUUUGGGUGCAAACAGGAGGGUUUUGGGACACCCUCGUUGUGCCUUUGUGGUGUCUUGGCUGCUGCACAGCCCCUCUGCCUCUGGCCAGCUCCCAACCCAGCUUCUCCCCCUUACAGCAGCCUCUCCAGCCUGGGCUUCGUCUCCUUGAGGAAGGGGUGAAGACCCCCUUGGGGAUCCCAAAAAGUAGGGUUUGGGGUGCCCUCACCUCCCUGCAGCAGGGUGUGGGGGCCUGCGCUCCUCCUGCUGCCCUGCGCCUUUUCCAUCCCGGUCCCCUUCUCCAUCCCCAUCCCUCCUGGUCCCCUUCUCCAUCCCUGUCCCAUUCCCCAUCCCCUUCUCCAUCCCCAUCCCCAUCUCCUGUCCCCUUCCCCAUCCCCUUUCCCAUCCCCAUCCCCACGCAGCCCCCGACCAUCCCCAGAUCCCCCAGACAGCCGAUUUAUCCCCCAGCGCCUCUCCCCUUCCCUCUCCCACCCCCGCACCCCCUAGGGCGCAUCUCACCGGCCGAGACGCGACCCCAAUCACCCCCCUCACCCCCCCACCGGCCCGGGCCGUGCCUCAGUUUCCCCGCGGCGGCGGGGCCGGGCCGGCGGCUCCCGGGAGGAGGCGGGGAAGGACGGGAGGGGAGGGGGCGGCCGUGCCCAGCCCCGGCGGCGGCGGCGGCGCGCUCCUGCGAGCCGUGCNNNNNNNNNNGGCUCCGGGGGGGGUGUCCCCAACCCCCUGCCCGGCGGCGGAGCCCGUGCGCCCCGUCGCGGAUCCCCCCGACCCCGGCCAAGAAGAUGCGGAGCAAAGGCAGGAAGGAGAGCCUGUCCGACUCCCGGGACCUGGACGGCUCCUACGACCAGCUGACGGGUGAGUGCAGCCCCCGGGGAAGGUGCAGCAGCCUCUCGGGGACCACGACCCCCCCCCGGGUUUCCCCCUUUGCCCCCAGCCCCCGUUCCCAGCGCGCUUCCAGCCCCGGCCCCUGCCCGCUCCGCUUCGCCGCACGCCUCGCCCCGGGGGUGGAGGGUGGCGGUGACCCCCGUGCUGGAGCAGGGGGGCAGCCCCCGUCCUGGGUGCCCCAAAGGAGGGUCGUGGCCCUGCGGAGGGAAAGGGUUUGUCCCCAUGGCGCGCAGGGGUGCUUGGAGCCCUUUCGGCUGCCCCCAAGCCCACAUCGCCGCCCGGGACAGCAGGGUUUGGUGCUGGGCCCUCUCCAAAAUGCCCCAGACCCCACAGCAGCACCCCAGCAGCAGGGUCCCCCAGGGACAGAGGUGUCCCCAACCCAGAAAAUCCCCCAGCGGCUCCGCAGCCCGCUCUCUCCUCCACCAGGCACCCGGUGCUCCCUGGGGACAAUCACAGCCUCCCACUGGGGCAGAGCACCUCAGCCCCCGAGCUGGGGUGGCUGUGGGGCAGGGAGAGGCCAGAUAUGA